UACGUAGGGUGCAAGCGUUGUCCGGAAUUAUUGGGCGUAAAGAGCUCGUAGGCGGUCUGUCACGUCGGCUGUGAAAUCCCGAGGCUCAACCUCGGGUCUGCAGUCGAUACGGGCAAACUAGAGUAUUGCAGGGGAGACUGGAAUUCCUGGUGUAGCGGUGAAAUGCGCAGAUAUCAGGAGGAACACCGGUGGCGAAGGCGGGUCUCUGGGCAAUAACUGACUCUGAGGAGCGAAAGCGUGGGGAGCGAACAGG
rnacentral:rRNA from 1 species